rnacentral:misc_RNA from 1 species
GAUGAAGAACGCAGCGAAAUGCGAUAAUUAAUGUGAAUUGCAGAAUUCCGUGAAUCAUCGAGUCUUUGAACGCACAUUGCGCCUCAUGGCAUUCCGUGAGGCAUGCCCAUCUCAGCGUUAGAAAAUAUUCUCAAAUUUUAGUUUUGUGCUAAAAUUUGGAUCAUGUCAAGGAAGCUAUUACUAUUAUUGUGAUCGCUCUUUGGAAAUUGAUAGGUCUUUGAGUUGCUACUCAUAGAACGUGAUGAAUCUUUCUUCGUUCUAUUGUAAUUCACUCUGGUAGCCCUAAAACUUGUAUGCCUGUGGCAUAUCUUGUAAUUUGACCUGAGAUUGGGUAGGGAUACCCGCUGAACUUAAGCAUAUCAAUAAGCGGAGGA